rnacentral:lncRNA from 1 species
UGUCAAUGACUUACUAUGAUGUCAUGCUCUUCAUUUUUGCUUAAUAUAUAUAUAUAUAUAUAUAUAUAUAUAUAUAUUCCAUUAAAAAAAACAUACAUGAAAGUAAAAAAAAAUUGGUAGAUGUUUAUGAUGGUAAUUUAAGCGCUGUGACUUGUACUCCAAUUUACAUAAAACAUCUCACAACAAAAUUUAUUACAUUAAACUAUUAAAAUUUUAAAGAAAAUUAUUUGAAGUCCUAAUAUAUAUAGCAAUCUCAUAUGUUUCCAACUUCCAUUGCUUUAUCGACUUCAACGCUUCCAUAAUUUUUUUUUUGGCACAUAAAUUUUCUUUUAGAGCCAUGAUAAAACUCCAAUAAUACGAAUUCGCAAUGUUGCUCCCGAAAACUGAAUUAGAUGGACUUAAUAGAUCUAGUAAACAUCCUGAAAGAAAAGAAAAAAAAUAAAUAUUAGUCUUGUUUCAAAUUGGUUUAUUUAUUAGAAGCGUUGAUUUAUACUGCAUAACCAAAUUUUAAUUGCCUAUUUCAAUUUUAACUUUAUCAAUAUCUAAGAAUAAUAAUCAUUAUUCAGGCUCAAUAUUUUAUUUUUAUUUUACAGUCUUCUUCAAUGUAACAAUAAUAAAGAUACAACAUACUUUAUCAAAUUAAUAAUAACAAUACUUAUGGACCAACAUACUUUAUCAGAGUCUUCUUCAAUGCGGAAAUUUCAAAUCAUGAUCGAGAGUGAUGUCUAUAUUUAGUGUUUGACAAUAAUUCAAAUAACAUUACCUCAAAUUACCUCAAAUAAAUAUUAACAUAGAUAAACAAAUUUUAUAAAAUAAUAUAUCAUAAUAUUUUUCUUUAAAAC